GUUAUUGCGUUGAUAGAACGAGUACGUGUCAGCCCGUCUAAAGAGAAGCGCUUUCUUGGCUGAAAAAAGCGCUGGCGAAGAGAUGCGGAACGCUAUUCUGGAGCUGUGGGCAAAACCCACCGUAUUUUCCUGCGUUAAAGGUAUGAAAGUGGUGGCGCUACAAUCGCGCCAUAAUGAGGGUGGUACCGCGUGAACAGACAUCUCGUCCCUUCU
rnacentral:ncRNA from 1 species